rnacentral:rRNA from 1 species
AUUGAACGCUGGCGGCAUGCCUUACACAUGCAAGUCGAACGCGAAAGGGGGGGCAACCCCCGAGUAGAGUGGCGAACGGGUGAGUAAUACAUCGGAACGUACCCAGUAGCGGGGGAUAACCUCUCGAAAGAGAGGCUAAUACCGCAUACGUCCUACGGGAGAAAGAGGGGGAUCGCAAGACCUCUCACUAUUGGAGCGGCCGAUGUCGGAUUAGCUAGUUGGCGGGGUAACGGCCCACCAAGGCGACGAUCCGUAGCUGGUCUGAGAGGACGACCAGCCACACUGGAACUGAGACACGGUCCAGACUCCUACGGGAGGCAGCAGUGGGGAAUUUUGGACAAUGGGCGAAAGCCUGAUCCAGCCAUGCCGCGUGGGUGAAGAAGGCCUUCGGGUUGUAAAGCCCUUUCGGCUGGGACGAAAAGGUCUGCGUUAACACCGCAGAUCCAUGACGGUACCAGCAGAAGAAGCACCGGCUAACUACGUGCCAGCAGCCGCGGUAAGAC